AGCGAACGCUGGCGGCAGGCCUAACACAUGCAAGUCGAACGAACCUUUCGGGGUUAGUGGCGGACGGGUGAGUAACACGUGGGAACGUGCCUUUAGGUUCGGAAUAACUCAGGGAAACUUGUGCUAAUACCGAAUGUGCCCUCCGGGGGAAAGAUUUAUCGCCUUUAGAGCGGCCCGCGUCUGAUUAGCUAGUUGGUUGAGGUAAUGGCUCACCAAGGCGACGAUCAGUAGCUGGUCUGAGAGGAUGAUCAGCCACAUUGGGACUGAGACACGGCCCAAACUCCUACGGGAGGCAGCAGUGGGGAAUCUUGCGCAAUGGGCGAAAGCCUGACGCAGCCAUGCCGCGUGAAUGAUGAAGGUCUUAGGAUUGUAAAAUUCUUUCACCGGGGACGAUAAUGACGGUACCCGGAGAAGAAGCCCCGGCUAACUUCGUG
rnacentral:rRNA from 1 species